GCUCAGUUGAUAAAAUACAAGGCUUUUAACCUUGUGGUUGUGGGUUCGAGCCCCACAAUGGGUA
rnacentral:tRNA from 1 species